AGUGUAAACAAAGUGGAUAUGAAGCCUCAAACUUUCUUUUCCUCCUUCCCUCGGGGACUCUACAGUAGAGCUGGAAAUUCCCACAGAGCUGCCUCCACUGUGAUUAUGAUGAUGAUGUUGGGGUUUGAAUGCAUUAUAUGUUGCUUUGAAAAUGUUCCCAUAGCUUUAUGUUAAACUUUUUUUUCUUAUUUCUGUCUGCUUAUUUUUCAGAACUCUCUGCGGGUCUCGAUCCCAUUUCCCAGGCCAUUUUAGGAAUUAUUGUUCAUGUUUAUUAUCGAAAAUAGUUCUAGGAAAGAGCAGACAAUCAUUUUCUUUGCUGACAGUCAGUCUGUUGGAGGUCAAGGGUUCAUAAUGAGGCAUGAAACCAGAAAGAAUUCAUUUUCACGGGGUGUUGGUGUCGGCCACCGUAGUCAUGGAUUAUGAUUGGUCCAGCAGAUGCUCUCAAACGACAUGUGAAAGUCAAAGCUGGAACUGAGUUUUCAAGGAGAUUUAAUGAGAGAGAAAGAUGCAGAAAACCAGUACGCCACUGGGGGUAAAAGCUGAAUUCAGCUGAUAUUUUACUUCUAACCAACAAGGGAACAUGGAUGAAAUACAUCUACACAUGCAAGUGAUGCUCUUUGAGUUUGCAAAAUUUGAUCUUUUGGCAGCUGCAGCGCCACCUUUUUGUGACAGUUGUGCCCCAUAAAAAAUGUCAAGCUGUAUUUCUGUAUACUCUCUAACAUUCACUUCCAUGUGCAGGAGUUUUUGAGGGAAACUUUAUGGACAAAAGCCAUAUUUAGAAUAUUUUUAAGAAGUCAAGGAGAAGCUGAGGUGUGAAUACAGCAAACUAAAGUCAGUAAAGUUUCAUCUUAAAGGAGUGAGCAGGGUGACAAUGCUAAUAUGGUACAGUCUUAGAGUAAGGUCCUCAUGCAUGUAAUAAAGCCGCUUCAAAUUUCUCUUAUUCUGUGAUACAUAAGCAAAACUGUAACCAUGUCCCUCCAGAAACUCCUUGUUCAAGAGGGAAACUCUCCCACUGUGCAUGAUUAGCAUAAAUAGCAACUUUGAAAACAGGAGCAGCCUGAGCUGAAACUACAAUCUCUACAACCUCCCCUCUCUGCCGGUUCUCUGGUACUUACUGAUGGAGCUUUAUUCUGAAACUCUUUAACCUUCCCGCUGUGUCAAUCCAUGUGAAAGUUUUGCAGCUCAUUUCCAUCAUUUGAAGACUCCGGACUACGGGCCACAGGAUGGCUCUGACUCCACCCUGAAGUCAUCGUCCAACUCUACACUCUGGGACCCUAACAUGAACUCCAACCGUAAGAUUCUGAGAUCUCUAUUACAUUUCAUUCCCCAUCAUUCUCCCUUUUUUUUCUGACUAUAAAAAAACGUACUGAAAAACAAGCCAUCCACUCUGACAGGAUGUCCUCUCAAAGACUGCGUGUUGUUGAAAUCCCCAUUGUCUUUGUCCUUUUUAAACACAGACUGGGAACCUGUCUUUUCAGAUUCUCUCCAAGAGCUGCCCGUCAGCAAUUAACACUUCAAUUCCUUUGAAAAAUACACAGAAGAAAAAGAACAGGAAGUUUCUUCAUGUCUGCUCUGGGUUUUCUUUCUCAUCUAGCAUGCAGCACAGCAUGACGCUUAUUGUUAGUACUUUCUACAUUGAAGGGGACCUUCCCUUUGGACUGAACACUAAAUAAGUAUAAUUUAAAACUUAAUUACUUUCCCGGGGUUAAUAGUUGUCUGAAUGAGUCACACUGUACAGAUGUGGAUGUGCAGUACAUCAGACUUCCAUGCAGAAUAAGAUGUACGUACACUACAGGCCAGAAGUUUGGAAGCAAGAUCAGAUUUGUACAAAAAAGAUCAUAGUUUCAUAUAUAUAAUUUGCAACACAAUAAACAUGACUAUUGUGUAACUUAACUUAUCAGAAGACAUAUUGACUAUGAUUAUUAGGUAUUUGAGUUAUUGUUGCUUAGACUUUGCUUUCUUUAAAGUAACCUCCUCUGGCUUUAACAACAGCUUGGCAUAUACCAGGCAUUCGUUCCACAAGUUUUCUAAGGUAUGUUCCAGGGAUUGGAUUCCAAGCUUUCUUAAGUUCAUUAAAAAGAGACUGCUGAUUCGUGGGAUGUGUUUUUCUGACCGAUAGAUCCAAUUCAUCCCGCACAAGCUCAAUUGGAGAAAGGUCUGGAGACUGAGGGGGUCAAACCAUCUUUUGAAGAACACCUUCCUCUUCUUUUUUGUCUAGGUAAUCCUGACAGAGCUUGGCAGAGUGCUUAGGGUCAUUGUCUUGCUGCAAAACAAACUUGUGAGCCACAAGUCUGAGUCCAGAUGGAACAGCAUGGUGCUGGAGGAUGGAGUGGUACUGUUCCUUCUCCAUGAUACCCUUUACUUUAAACAAAUCUCCUACUUCAUCACCUGCAAAACAUCCCCAUACCAUGGAACUACCACCUCCAUGCUGAAUUGUGGGUGUAACACAUGGUGCUUUCAGACGUUCACCAGUUUGUCUGCGGACAUUGACUCUGUGUUCUGAACCAAACAGUUCAAACUUGUUUCUAGUCAUCAUAAGUCCCAUUUUUGUGAGAUUUUGCCCACUCAUAUCUCUUUUUCUUGUUCUUUUUUUGCAGAUACACAACCCUUCAGACCAGCCUCUCUCAAACAUAAUUUCACGGUUGUCAGAGAUAUGGGUUUCGACCUUGUCAUGUUGAUUUCCUCCCUUAAUCAUGGCACUGCUUUUUGCCGAUCUCUCUUACUGAUGACAAUCCUAUGUUUAUCCUCUGCUUUUGUAGUAACUCUCUUUCAUCUAGGCCUUUUUCUAUCAUCAUAACUUCCAGGUUCCUCUCGCUUCUUCAGAGUGUAGCUGAUGCCUUUGUUAAACACCUUUAGGCGUUUUGCAAUUUCUCUUUCUGUGUAUCCUUCUUUCCUCAAUGUACAAAUCUGUACUUUUGUUUCUUUACUCAGUUGCUUCUUUCUAGCCAAUUUUGGGGUAGUUUGAACGCAGUCGAGAUUUAUUAGGAUUUUUGUAUGCAGGCUCUCAAUUUCAAUUUCAUUCUUUUUGUGUUUACUAAACUAUAUUAUGUGAUCAUGUUAAAAAUGUUCACCUUUUUUUGUGUUUUAUGAAAUAUUUUUGUCGCCUGUCUGAAUGACUUGUGCUAUUGACCUUCAAGGCCAUGUAUGACAUCCAAUACAAGGAGUCAAAGGGCAGAUAACACCCUCUACUGAUUAACAAAGGAUAUCAAUAUUCAUUUUUCAUCCCACUAAAUCAUCCCUCAUGUACAUCUUUAAACAUCUGUAUGUAUGAUCUUCCCCUGAAGCAUGAAGUGGAUUCCUUUAGGACAGCUGCUGUAUAGAAUAAUGAGGGUGUAUUUAAGACUGUUGGCGGGGUCGGGAGGAAGGUUUAAAAAGGCCAGAGGAUUUAGUGAACUUUUAACAGCAGAUUAAAUAACCACAGAGAAACAGCUCCAUAAAUAGAUUUGCUGUUCCCAAAAAUGUGAUGUUUUGUUUUUAUUUGGGUCUGGAGACAUAUUUGCAUAGAUCACUUAACACACAGACACACACACACACACACACACACACAGGCACAGACACACAAACCAGUUUAUGUCCUAUUGUUUUGUUGAUAUACUUGUGUGGCUGUUGUGUUGCAUUUCAAUUUAGAACAUAAACUUGCAAACUUGAUGAAUAAUUUAUGUAACAUCUGUGUGUGUGUGUGUGUGUGUGUGUGUGUGUGUGUGUGUGUGUGUGUGUGUGUGUGUGUGUGUGUGUGUGUGUGUGUGUGUGCGUGUGUGCGUGUGUGUUUUAAUCCCUUCAGUUUUGCUGCUGAUUUUCUUCGUCAAGCGUGAGAGAGUAAUUAAUCAGAUCUGAAAUGAGAUUCUGGAAUUAAAACCAUGGUGUGUGUGUGUGUGUGUGUGUGUGUGUGUGUGUGUGUGUGUGUGUGUGUGUGUGUGUGUGUGUGUGUGUGUGUGUGUGUUGGGAACUAGUUCGGCCCUAAUGAAUUCUGACAGGCGAAUUAUAUCAGCUUCCUCCUCAUGAUCAUUUCUCUGCUGUGUCCCCUUGUGUCUUUCCUCCAUUUUCCUCCGUUUUUGUUCUUUUUAUAUGAAAGUUUCUGACUUCAUCUAAAUCAAUGAAUAUAUAAAUUAUGUCUUUUUGUUUGUGUCUAUGUGACAAGCAUUCAGAGUGUAGGUCUAUAACCCUGAAACAGUCUGAUGUCAAUUAAAAGGACGGAGGAUCAGGAGUUUAAACGCUGUGAGACUUGUUUGUAAUUAACCCUAAAGUUUACCUUAUUAUUUAUAUGAAAUUCAAUCUUUUUCUACUACUUCUUGUACGAAAACAUGUGAAUAUGCUUGAGAUGUGACAAAGUGCAGUUGGAUUUCUGACCUCAUUACAACCCACAUGGUUUGUCAGUUACUAUAUUCAGCUCUUCAUUCUCACUCACUACGUUUAUCCGCACAGUUUAUUUGAACUAUGACCAUAGCUGAAUUUACGAGAUGUAACUGGAUUACUGUUCUUAUCCCAGUAAACAUGCAUGGGGUCAGAGUGAAAUUGUUAAUAGAAGCAUGUCUGCCCUGUCUACAGUAGAUGGUAAACCCCCAGUUUUAGCUUGUUACUAUCCAGUCACUUUGACAGCUCUAUGUUUUUUGUUAAGAAAGUUUUGUCUUCUCCCGAUCCUUUUUUCGUCUGUUGAGGGUUUUUUUUUACUACUUGGCUUCUGAGGAAUGCAUCCAUGUUUUCAGCCAUCGGCUCACAGCCUGGCGUGUGAACACUGGAGCGUGCUCAGAACGCUUAAGCCAGUUUCAGUUUGACUGAGCCUUAUACAUGACAGAUCGCCAACUGUAUUUUCCACGUGUGUUUACAGUGGCUGGGAAGUGCAAAUCAAAAUUACAAAAUCUAAAACACUUUAAACUUUAAAUAAAUGUUUACUUUACAAAUCAUUUUAACAAUUAAAAAA
rnacentral:lncRNA from 1 species